GGGUGUGAGGGCGAUCUGGCUGCGACAUCUGUCACCCCAUUGAUCGCCAGGGUUGAUUCGGCUGAUCUGGCUGGCUAGGCGGGUGUCCCCUUCCUCCCUCACCGCUCCAUGUGCGUCCCUCCCGAAGCUGCGCACUUGGUGGAAGAGGACGACCAUCCCAGAUAGAAGGAGUGUACCGUUCUUCAGUCAAGGGUAUACGAUAGCUGCGCUCCCCUGCUAGAACCUCCAGACAAUGGUGUAGCCAUGUAACAACUGUGUCUCAUGCUGUCGGCCAAUAUGCAGGCUGGCUGCCA